UGUAUCACGUGUUAUUAUUAUUCACACAGACGUUGCUAUACUUGUACUUUUCCUCACACUUUUAACUUCUUCAGGCCUUCCGGUUCGCGUCCUAAUCAACAGAUAGGAAACACGUGCGCGUUUCUAACGCGUUAAACCUUCUCCUAACGCCACCUCGGCCACUUAAAAACCACCCUCCCGACCCUCGGGGCAGCAGAAACAACUGUUCGGGUUCAAGAUGUUGUUGUUCUGGUGGUGCGUAGUCCUGUUCGCUUCGGCCGGUUGCUCGGGGGACCCCCGGGAAGGGAUGACGGGCGAGCCGCUCAGGGUCCCGGUGAACGGCACCAAGGUUUUGAGGGCAGCUCAUUUCGCGGUGUCCGAGUUCAACAGAGUCCACGCAGCAGAGCGGGUUGCUUACAAGCUCGUGAGCAUAACAUCGGCCAAAAUUCAGGUCGUCGCGGGUGUAGACUACAUCUUGGACGUGCUGCUUGGACGCACGACGUGCCAGAGCCUCUCCGCCGCAGACAGUGAGCCGUGUUUCCUCCACCCCAAAGCCAACUGUACUCUGAAGCGAGAAAGAAGCGACGGGAGGAAGCCGGCGGAUGAAAGGAGACAUGCACAAAGGUCCCAGGUACGACUCCGGGCGUGGAAGUCGUGGUUACAUGUGCUUGUUGGGGUCAAAGGCUGAAGGCUGGUGAGUGGUGACCUCAGUGAGAGGCCUGGGUGCGAUCUGACCUCUGAGUGGGUGUGCGGGCUGACUCUGGAGGAUACAGCUCAACAAAGGGCGGCACGUGCCUCGUCGUGGUCACCAUGUGAAGAACAGGACUGAGGGGAAUAUGCAUCAUCUUCUCUUUCAUGAGUCUUGGACACCAUCUUUUAUUAAUCUUGAAAAAACUACUUUGAUAUAUCAAGGUCUUUAUCUCUAUGUCUCUGGUGAAUAUGUUCAAUAGCCUUCUUAAUAAAAUAAACUUUCAGUGAAGGGUAAAGCA